GGAUUUUUUAUUAACUUUACUGUAUAAUUAUUUAUUUUACAGCAAUUUUAUAGUCUAAUUAUUGAUUAUGAGCUCCCUUUUUGUUGUUUGGUUUGUUAGUACUGAUACUUUACAAGGAUGAUUGACCUAGCUGCUGAUUAUUGUCCAUGAUUCAUUCUAUAAUUCAGACAGAAAGUAUGCUUUUUAGUUUGGAAAAUUACAAGAGGCAUGGGAAGUGGCAGCAUAUAGAAUGGUCAAUAUUGAAGUGAGCUAUCCCAUUUGAUAUUUCCAGGUACCUUAUAUGAUGUAGUAAUUAAAGUAUAAACCUGAUUUAUGUGUC